rnacentral:rRNA from 1 species
CAGUGAUCAGAAGUGAGAAUGUUGACAUGAGUAGCGACAAACAGGGUGAGAGACCCUGUCGCCGAAAGUCCAAGGGUUCCUGCUUAAAGCUAAUCUGAGCAAGGUAAGCCGGCCCCUAAGGCGAGGCCGAAAGGCGUAGUCGAUGGGAACCAGGUUAAUAUUCCUGGGCCAGGAGAUGGUGACGGAUCACAGAGGUAGUUCAUCCUUAUCGGAUUGAAUGGGCUGCUGAGUGGUUCCUGGAAAUAGCCCUCCACAAGACCGUACCCUAAACCGACACAGGUGGACUGGUAGAGAAUACCAAGGCGCUUGAGAGAACCACAUUUAAGGAACUCGGCAAAAUACCUCCGUAAGUUCGCGAGAAGGAGGCCCCGUUUGUACGCAAGUAUGGGCGGGGGGCACAAACCAGGGGGUGGCGACUGUUUACUAAAAACACAGGGCUCUGCGAAGCCGUAAGGCGACGUAUAGGGUCUGACGCCUGCCCGGUGCCGGAAGGUUAAAAGGAGAUGUGCAAGCAUUGAAUUGAAGCCCCGGUAAACGGCGGCCGUAACAAUAACGGUCCUAAGGUAGCGAAAUUCCUUGUCGGGUAAGUUCCGACCUGCACGAAUGGCGUAACGACUUCCCCGCUGUCUCAAAUGUGGACUCAGCGAAAUUGAAUUGUCUGUGAAGAUGCAGACUUCCCGCGGUUAGACGGAAAGACCCCAUGCACCUUUACUAUAGCUUCGCACUGGCAUCAGGAUUGUGAUGUGCAGGAUAGGUGGUAGGCAUUGAAGCGGGAGCGCUAGUUCCUGUGGAGCCAUCCUUGAGAUACCACCCUUCGCACUCUUGAUGUCUAACCGCGGCCCGUUAUCCGGGUCCGGGACCCUGCGUGGUGGGUAGUUUGACUGGGGCGGUCGCCUCCCAAAAAGUAACGGAGGCGCGCGAAGGUUGGCUCAGAGCAGUCGGAAAUCGCUCGUUGAGUGCAAUGGCAGAAGCCAGCCUGACUGCAAGACUGACAAGUCGAGCAGAGACGAAAGUCGGCCAUAGUGAUCCGGUGGUCCCGAGUGGAAGGGCCAUCGCUCAACGGAUAAAAGGUACGCUGGGGAUAACAGGCUGAUGAUGCCCAAGAGUCCAUAUCGACGGCAUCGUUUGGCACCUCGAUGUCGGCUCAUCUCAUCCUGGGGCUGGAGCAGGUCCCAAGGGUACGGCUGUUCGCCGUUUAAAGAGGUACGUGAGCUGGGUUUAGAACGUCGUGAGACAGUUCGGUCCCUAUCUGCCGUGGGUGUAGGAUACUUGAGAGGAGUUGCCCCUAGUACGAGAGGACCGGGGUGAACGUUCCACUGGUGGACCAGUUGUCGUGCCAACGGCAGUGCUGGGUAGCUAUGAACGGACAGGAUAAACGCUGAAGGCAUCUAAGCGUGAAGCCCCCCUCAAAACAAGGUAUCCCUUGAGAGCCGUGGAAGACCACCACGUCGAUAGGCCGGA